AGUGAACGCUGGCGGUACGCCUAACACAUGCAAGUCGAACGGCAGCACAGUAAGAGCUUGCUCUUACGGGUGGCGAGUGGCGGACGGGUGAGGAAUACAUCGGAAUCUACUUUUUCGUGGGGGAUAACGUAGGGAAACUUACGCUAAUACCGCAUACGACCUACGGGUGAAAGCAGGGGAUCUUCGGACCUUGCGCGAAUGAAUGAACCGAUGUCGGAUUAGCUAGUUGGCGGGGUAAAGGCCCACCAAGGCGACGAUCCGUAGCUGGUCUGAGAGGAUGAUCAGCCACACUGGAACUGAGACACGGUCCAGACUCCUACGGGAGGCAGCAGUGGGGAAUAUUGGACAAUGGGCGCAAGCCUGAUCCAGCCAUACCGCGUGGGUGAAGAAGGCCUUCGGGUUGUAAAGCCCUUUUGUUGGGAAAGAAAAGCAGCAGGUUAAUACCCCGCUGUUCUGACGGUACCCAAAGAAUAAGCACCGGCUAACUUCGUG
rnacentral:rRNA from 1 species